rnacentral:rRNA from 1 species
UUAACACAUGCAAGUCGAGCGGGCGUAGCAAUACGUCAGCGGCAGACGGGUGAGUAACGCGUGGGAACGUACCUUUUGGUUCGGAACAACACAGGGAAACUUGUGCUAAUACCGGAUAAGCCCUUACGGGGAAAGAUUUAUCGCCGAAAGAUCGGCCCGCGUCUGAUUAGCUAGUUGGUGAGGUAAUGGCUCACCAAGGCGACGAUCAGUAGCUGGUCUGAGAGGAUGAUCAGCCACAUUGGGACUGAGACACGGCCCAAACUCCUACGGGAGGCAGCAGUGGGGAAUAUUGGACAAUGGGGGCAACCCUGAUCCAGCCAUGCCGCGUGAGUGAUGAAGGCCCUAGGGUUGUAAAGCUCUUUUGUGCGGGAAGAUAAUGACGGUACCGCAAGAAUAAGCCCCGGCUAACUUCGUGCCAGCAGCCGCGGUAAUACGAAGGGGGCUAGCGUUGCUCGGAAUCACUGGGCGUAAAGGGUGCGUAGGCGGGUCUUUAAGUCAGGGGUGAAAUCCUGGAGCUCAACUCCAGAACUGCCUUUGAUACUGAAGAUCUUGAGUUCGGGAGAGGUGAGUGGAACUGCGAGUGUAGAGGUGAAAUUCGUAGAUAUUCGCAAGAACACCAGUGGCCGAAAGC